ACGGCAUCAGUGUGCUCCGAAAACCCCAAUAUUCGAACGCAUCCAAAGCCUUCGCCUCAAAAUAUCAAAGCAAAAAAAAAAAGGUAAAAACCUACCAAGGUAUGUAGAAAGUUGUACGAAUCUUAUCUAUUUAAUGCGUGUAAUUGUUGUUCUUCAUCUUUCUUCCUUCUGUGAGUCUAAUCUUUUGGCGAUGUUAAUUGAUAUUUGUUAUGAGCACAUUCGGACACAUCAAUAUUAUGCGUGGUGCGAGUUAUUUCAUUUGAGAUUCAAGAUUUGAAGCAAAUUAGGGCAUGUAAUUUUGUACAUAUUGACUUGGAAUUGAGAGCUAGCUAUCUCGUGGCAGAGAUUCUCAAGAAACCCUAGUUGAGGGCUUCUCACAAUUGUUAUAUUAAUACCGAGAUUCGGAAAUUGAACGGUGGCACGUUUUGCAUGCGCAUGAGUUCGAAAAUUGGAAUUUUAUUGUAAAUCAAAAACUAUACGUUUUUUUAUUCUAAAUUACACCCUUAUUUUAUGUUGAAUGUGCCGCGUUCAUUGCAUGUUUGUGCUGGUAAACUUAUAUAGGGUAUGUAUGACAUGGGCUGUAAGUCUCCAGUUCUUAGAGGGGGAUAUUGGCUGCCCGCUUAAUUUACCGCUUAAGAAGAUCUUUAUGCAAGGAAGAUAACUUGGAAAGAGCUUUAAGCUUUUCAAUGUCAAGUUUGGUUGAUGAGUGUAGGUCAUUUAUAUUUUAUCUUAAUUUAAUUUCGCCUUGUUGGUUGACGGUGUUUCUAGUUAGAACGAGCUUGUGGAACAUUCUUGUGCAUUAUGAAAUGAUGAAUUCAGGAAGAUUUCUUUGGUUAAUGAUUGGGAAAUUUGCAUGGCUGUACGCGAUAUUCAUCGGAUAUGGUGUUUUAUGGCAUCAGCAUUUUGGUUACUCCUGUAGCCAACUUUGUUGAAAAUUCUUGAAUGAGAUUCAACUUUAGCAAGUAUAAAUCACUUUUGGUAAUGUGAAUGGGUUCAUGGAAGUAGGAGAGGAGAUGUGAUCUGCAUUUUAAUCAAUAAGAUGUCCCCACCAGGAGUUGUGUGAUGCGAAGAAAUGAAGUUCUCGAGAUGUGUAGUCAGAUUUGCAAUGCUAAGUGUAAUAUGUAUGGAAUUGAUGUUUGAAUGCAGAGAUCUUCCAAAUGCAGCAUGAAGUCGGAUGUCAAAUUGGGUAAAUUUUUUCUUCUGUUAUAAUUGGAUAUUCCUUGAUGAUGCUCUCUGUAUAUGGAUAGUUUCUUAGGCAAGUUGGGUUAUCUUUUUUAUUUGUUGCAUGUGUACGUCAAAAUAAUCAGGCAAGUAAUAACUUUGCAUCGCUACUUGCUAGAGAUGAAGUUUGUUUUUGAUGUUUUUUGGGCCGUUUUAAGAUUUUGUGUCUGGUACUCUGGAUAAUCUGUAUAUCCUAUAAUAUUUUGCCUUUUUGCUGUAUUUUUAUACUUAAUGAGCACUAACAGUUUCUCUUCGAGUAUCCAUGUCAGUGGAUAUUUCAAUGGCCAUUGAAGUAUAACUGGUUCGUAGGACAUGCACCUGCUCAAAUGCAAAACUUUCUUGAGGUUUCUAAGAUCCAUAUACGUGGAGGAAUUAGCUUGAUUUGUGUAGGUCUGCUUCAGUUGGUGGCAUAAUGGCCUACGAGAUUAGUGAGCUGAAAAAGGUUGGCAUAGGUCUGAUAGGCUUUGGCAUUCUGUUCUCAUUUCUGGGUGUUAUUCUCUUCUUUGACAGGGGCUUGCUGGCUCUGGGUAAUUUAUUUUGCUUGUCUGGUGUUGGUGUUCUACUUGGUUGGCAAUCUACAUGGCAACUUUUCACAAAGAAAAUGUAUUAUAAGGGUUCUAUACCUUUUCUUGUUGGGCUCUUUCUCAUAUUUGUCCGUUGGCCUAUAACUGGUAUCAUCUUGGAAAUGUGUGGCUCAAUUGUGCUAUUCAGUGGCUUUUGGCCUUCUAUCAAGGUUUUUCUUUCUCAGAUACCAGUGAUGGGAUGGCUUCUGCAAUACCCUUUUCUGUUCUUCAAUCGCUUGAGGCAGAUGCUUGGCUGAAGAUAUACUGAAAUGGUGCCUAAAGCUUUUGAAACUGUGGAAUACCGCUUCUGCUAUUGUGGAUACAAUGGAUAUAGUCCUCAGGAAUCUCAAGGUUAAUGGUUACAACUCUUUAAUAUAAAGCUUCCACCACAGGGUGUAUGAAAGCUUAACUGAAGUGCUGCUCAGCAUAACCUUUACCAUGCAUUCUUAGCAUCAUUUGCUGAUGCUACAUGCUAUCCCUUUCGAAUGCUCCUCAGGGUCAGGCUGAUUCACAUGUUAAACCAACCACCAGGGAGAACAAAAUGCAACAGUAAAUCAUUCUUGUUCUUAAUGAAGUGAGUUGAUAAUAGGCUUUAUAAGUGAAGCACUAGAAUAAUGGUACGAUCAAAUUUAUUACCUUAUUCCCUCUUUGUUCAACUAACUAUAAUCUUAAGAUUCUACAAUUUUUAUCUGUUUAGGGCUUGCUUAAUUUCUUUAGAAAUUUUUCUUUGCCAUGUCUUCAUUGACUAGAGAUUUUUUGUAUCAUGAUGCUACUUUCAACAAUUCCUCAAUGCUUCCUCAAAACCUAUCUUUAUCUUUAUCUUUGUUGCACUUGACCAUUUCAAUGAAUUCUCCAUUUUAUCAUCUAAUUUUAGACUUUAUUUGUUCAGUGUUUCUAAGGAAUUGCCUCUGAAAAUUUCAAACAUUUCCAGGAUGGUGUCACUACCUUGAUAAAAUUCUAAUCACCACUUAUCUUUCUAUUGAUUUUGCGCCUUCCUUUGACAUUUCACACCAUUUCCUUCCUGAUGAGCAUCAAUGUUAUAUAUAUAUAUAUGUAUGUGUGUGUAUAUAUAUAUGUGUGUGUGUGUGUGUGUGUAAACCAAUGGUUGAUGUUCUAAAUGCCAGGGUUGACAUGCUGAGAAGGAUGAAAUUACAGUAAAGCCUUAGAAAUCUAUGCAAGAUUUAUGACUCUACCCAGUUAAGAUUUAUAUUUAACUAUGAAAUUAAUAUCCACAGAAAUAGAACAAAGCAUUUGGACUUGAUCACCAUAGAUAGUACUAUAAAUUGUCUAAUUUGUUGUCCUUCUGAAAGUCAUUUUGCACUGGACAGCCAUUAUGCUUUUGAUGCUUUAUGUUACAUUUGGGAAGUUUCAGGCUUUCCACAAUUGGUAAAACAUUUUGGCAUUCUAGCGCGCAAUCUUCACCCUCUGAUGGUAUGGUUCCAUCAGCUCUGAAAGAGAGGGUCACUGCUCAUAUUUGUCCCGUUGAUUUCAUAAUAUUCACUUUUUGGAUAGCUAGUUCGCAACUUUAAUACGGUACUUGUGCUGCAAAUAUGCAGGUGGCUUUUUCCACCAAUUUAGUGUGAAUUUACUAUGCUGUUUAAACCUUGUUGUGCAACCGCACAUUCUCCAAUUAGAUUGUAACUUAAAAACCUUACGAACAAAAAUCAUAUGGGGCGGGCAUUAGAGAAAAAUUAUGAAGUAGGUUUUUUAUUUUGUCAUAUUUUUUCUAGUGCCCAUUUUAAAGAAGAAACCUAAAAAUUAUAGACUCUUACUAAUAGAGUCGUCAAUCCGGUAAUUAAAAAAAAA